rnacentral:tmRNA from 1 species
GGGGCUGAUAUGGUUUCGACGGGAAUAUGAGAGCAUAGAUGGCAAGUCGAAUGUCCACGUCACGGACACAAAAAAUAAACGCAAACAAAAUUAAAAAUGCAGUUGCUAACAUGUUUGGUAGAAGCCAAGCUGUAGCAUUUGCCUAAUAAUUUAAAGGCCUGCGCUUUCUUUUAUUUCUUACCUAGGAAAUAAUCGAAGGUUCAUAUUUUAUAGGUUAUAGCUAUUUUCUUCCCAGAAAAUAGAAAGAAUUAAAGGGAUAAUAUAUUAUCUUGGUCGUUAACUACUUGGGUAAUAUAUGAAUAUAACUAGUUAACUAAGCUUGUAGAAAUUUAUGUAGCUCUAUUUUCGGACAGGAGUUCGAUUCUCCUCAGCUCCACCA